rnacentral:rRNA from 1 species
CCCAAGUGCACAGGCAUAGCGCUGUGCUUUUCGGUACCGUAAGGUGGUACCAGAUAAGGGCUGGGCAAGACCGGUGCCAGCCGCCGCGGUAAUACCGGCAGCCCAAGUGAUGGCCGAUCUUAUUGGGCCUAAAGCGUCCGUAGCUGGCCGCGCAAGUCCAUCGGGAAAUCCACCUGCUCAACAGGUGGGCGCCCGGUAGAAACUGCGUGGCUUGGGACCGGAAGGCGCGACGGGUACGUCCGGGGUAGGAGUGAAAUCCCGUAAUCCUGGACGGACCGCCGAUGGCGAAAGCACGUCGCGAGGACGGAUCCGACAGUGAGGGACGAAAGCCAGGGUCUCGAACCGGAUUAGAUACCCGGGUAGUCCUGGCCGUAAACAAUGUCUGCUAGGUGUGGCUCCCACUACGAGUGGGUGCUGUGCCGUAGGGAAGCCGCUAAGCAGACCGCCUGGGAAGUACGUCCGCAAGGAUGAAACUUAAAGGAAUUGGCGGGGGAGCACUACAACCGGAGGAGCCUGCGGUUUAAUUGGACUCAACGCCGGACAUCUCACCAGCAUCGACUGUAAUAAUGACG